CAUGCAAGUCGAGGGGAAACGACAUCGAAAGCUUGCUUUUGAUGGGCGUCGACCGGCGCACGGGUGAGUAACGCGUAUCCAACCUGCCCAUCACUUGGGGAUAACCUUGCGAAAGUAAGACUAAUACCCAAUGACGUCUCUAGAAGACAUCUGAAAGAGAUUAAAGAUUUAUCGGUGAUGGAUGGGGAUGCGUCUGAUUAGCUUGUUGGCGGGGUAACGGCCCACCAAGGCGACGAUCAGUAGGGGUUCUGAGAGGAAGGUCCCCCACAUUGGAACUGAGACACGGUCCAAACUCCUACGGGAGGCAGCAGUGAGGAAUAUUGGUCAAUGGACGAGAGUCUGAACCAGCCAAGUAGCGUGCAGGAUGACGGCCCUAUGGGUUGUAAACUGCUUUUAUAAGGGAAUAAAGUUAGUCUCGUGAGACUUUUUGCAUGUACCUUAUGAAUAAGGACCGGCUAAUUCCGUGCCAGCAGCCGCGGUAAUACGGAAGGUCCGGGCGCUAUCCGGAUUUAUUGGGUUCAAAGGGAGCGUAGGCCGGAGAUUAAGCGUGUUGUGAAAUGUAGACGCUCAACGUCUGCACUGCAGCGCGAACUGGUUUCCUUGAGUACGCACAAAGUGGGCGGAAUUCGUGGUGUAGCGGUGAAAUGCUUAGAUAUCACGAAGAACUCCGAUUGCGAAGGCAGCUCACUGGAGCGCAACUGACGCUGAAGCUCGAAAGUGCGGGUAUCGAACAGGAUUAGAUACCCUGGUAGUCCGCACGGUAAACGAUGGAUGCCCGCUGUUGGUCUGAAUAGGUCAGCGGCCAAGCGAAAGCAUUAAGCAUCCCACCUGGGGAGUACGCCGGCAACGGUGAAACUCAAAGGAAUUGACGGGGGCCCGCACAAGCG
rnacentral:rRNA from 1 species